GACGAACGCUGGCGGCGCGCCUAACACAUGCAAGUCGCACGCGAAAAGGGGCUUCGGCCUCUGAGUAGAGUGGCGAACGGGUGAGUAACACGUGGGUAAUCUACCUCAAGGUGGGGAAUAACUCGGGGAAACUCGGGCUAAUACCGCAUAAUGCAGCGGCACCGCAUGGUGAUAGUUGUUAAAGCGGGGAUCGCAAGACCUCGCGCCUAGAGAGGAGCCCGCGCCCGAUUAGCAGUUGGCGAGGUAAUGGCGUCACCAAGGCAAUGAUCGGUAGCCGGUCUGAGAGGA
rnacentral:rRNA from 1 species